CAUGGUGUAGCUCAGUGGCAGAGCAUUUGCCUAGCAUGUGUAAGGUCCUGGGUUCAGUCACCAGCACCAUAU
rnacentral:tRNA from 1 species